AGAGUUUGAUCCUGGCUCAGAGCGAACGCUGGCGGCAGGCCUAAUACAUGCAAGUCGAGCGGCCCUUCGGGGCAGCGGCGGACGGGUGAGUAACGCGUGGGAAUGUGCCCUUUGGUACGGAACAACACAGGGAAACUUGUGCUAAUACCGUAUGUGCCCUUCGGGGGAAAGAUUUAUCGCCAUUGGAGCAGCCCGCGUUGGAUUAGCUAGUUGGUGGGGUAAAGGCCCACCAAGGCGACGAUCCAUAGCUGGUCUGAGAGGAUGAUCAGCCACACUGGGACUGAGACACGGCCCAGACUCCUACGGGAGGCAGCAGUAGGGAAUCUUGCGCAAUGGGCGAAAGCCUGACGCAGCCAUGCCGCGUGAAUGAUGAAGGUCUUAGGAUUGUAAAAUUCUUUCACCGGGGAAGAUAAUGACGGUACCCGAGAAGAG
rnacentral:rRNA from 1 species